AUUGAACGCUGGCGGCAGGCCUAACACAUGCAAGUCGAGCGGAUGAAGGGAGCUUGCUCCUGGAUUCAGCGGCGGACGGGUGAGUAAUGCCUAGGAAUCUGCCUGGUAGUGGGGGAUAACGUCCGGAAACGGGCGCUAAUACCGCAUACGUCCUGAGGGAGAAAGUGGGGGAUCUUCGGACCUCACGCUAUUAGAUUAGCCUAGGGCGGAUUAGCUAGUUGGUGGGGUAAAGGCCUACCAAGGCGACGAUCCGUAACUGGUCUGAGAGGAUGAUCAGUCACCCUGGAACUGAAACACGGUCCAGACUCCUACGGGAGGCAGCAGUGGGGAAUAUUGGACAAUGGGCGGAAGCCUGAUCCAGCCAUGCCGCGUGUGUGAAGAAGGUCUUCGGAUUGUAAAGCACUUUAAGUUGGGAGGAAGGGCAGUAAGUUAAUACCUUGCUGUUUUGACGUUACCAACAGAAUAAGCACCGGCUAACUUCGUG
rnacentral:rRNA from 1 species